rnacentral:rRNA from 1 species
AGAGUUUGAUCAUGGCUCAGGACGAACGCUGGCGGCGUGCCUAAUACAUGCAAGUCGAACGGUCUUUUCUAUGGAAGCUUGCUUCCACUGAGAAGAUAGUGGCGGACGGGUGAGUAACACGUGGGUAACCUGCCCAUAAGAGGGGGAUAACAUCCGGAAACGGGUGCUAAUACCGCAUAGUUUUCUUGAUCGCAUGAUCGGGAAAGGAAAGACGGCCUUUGUGCUGUCGCUUAUGGAUGGACCCGCGGCGUAUUAGUUAGUUGGUGAGGUAAUGGCUCACCAAGACGAUGAUACGUAGCCGACCUGAGAGGGUGAUCGGCCACAUUGGGACUGAGACACGGCCCAAACUCCUACGGGAGGCAGCAGUAGGGAAUCUUCCGCAAUGGACGAAAGUCUGACGGAGCAACGCCGCGUGAGUGAAGAAGGUUUUCGGAUCGUAAAACUCUGUUGUCAGAGAAGAACAAGUUGGAGAGUAACUGCUCCAGCCUUGACGGUAUCUGACCAGAAAGCCACGGCUAACUACGUGCCAGCAGCCGCGGUAAUACGUAGGUGGCAAGCGUUGUCCGGAUUUAUUGGGCGUAAAGCGAGCGCAGGCGGUUCCUUAAGUCUGAUGUGAAAGCCCACGGCUCAACCGUGGAAGGUCAUUGGAAACUGGGGAACUUGAGUGCAGAAGAGGAGAGUGGAAUUCCAUGUGUAGCGGUGAAAUGCGUAGAUAUAUGGAGGAACACCAGUGGCGAAGGCGGCUCUCUGGUCUGUAACUGACGCUGAGGCUCGAAAGCGUGGGGAGCAAACAGGAUUAGAUACCCUGGUAGUCCACGCCGUAAACGAUGAGUGCUAAGUG